ACUGUCCUUAGACUCAAGCAUUUAAUUGAUGAUCUGCUUUUUAGUUUGCAUUGUUUCAGGCCAGAAGAAAAGUGUUGUGUGGUAGCGUAAAAACAUCAAUUGGGACAGAAAACUCUACAUGCUCAUUUACACCAUGACAGCAAGGGGAGACACUAACAAGGUUUCUAGAUGUAGUUAUCCCUGGACUGCUCUGAGAACUGGUCCUGGUGCUUCGGUGGGACUGCAGUUGUUGAAGGACUGCUCAGCAGCUGGGACCUCCAGUCAUGACCACUGCAGAAGGUCUUGCUGCAAUGGUAAGCGAGGUGCAGAGCUGCUGUGUACACUUAUCACAGGCCCAAACGCACUGUGCUGCUCAACUGCUGAGCCCUGUCUCGUGCGAUACCGUUCUGAGGUGUACAUGUGAAGGUAAAAGUGAUGUUGUCCUUGAGGCUGCAUCCAGAAAUUCAGUGAGGUCUUUUACUGGACCUGAGCAGCAACUGUCAUAUUCCCAAAACACGCACUUGAAGCGGUCCAUAUGUGACUGGUAACUGUUUUUCUGAUCAGACUGUCAGUCUAUUACCUAGCUCAGCCAAACACAGCAACUAAGGAAAUGUUGAGGAACUCUGCUUUAAAUACUUACUCACAUGAGUGCCUCUUAGAGUCUUCUGGAAGGUCCAGUCCAGCAGUGAGCAACUUCCUGCAUUUACUCUUCUUGGACUGGUGCAGCCAACAUCUGCAGCAUGUCAUUCACUGGUGAGUCCGGAGGUUUCAUUCUCUGUGCACAUCCAAAUGUUAAUGGUCUCAUAAUCCUGACAUAGCCUCUGGCUCAGCGAGUAAUCUUCCAUGCAGGGUUCCUCAGAUAAGGGAUAUAUUACCAUUUGGAAUGGAAUUGUGCCCCAGAUUAAAACCCUUAAAUGAGGUUUCUGGAGACAAGUGUAAGUGUAGAUACUUGUGUAUAAAUUCAUAGAACCACAGAGUCCUGUUCCCAUUCAGAUUCCCACUGUAGUCAAUGAAAAUCCAGUCCAUGCAGAUGUUGGAACUAAAUGCUUUAAUUUACCUUGGAGUAGACACCUCUCAGAUAUCAGCCAAAUAGUUCUAUAAGCAUCACUGACUAUAUGGGGUAGGUUUCCCAUGGCCAUUAUAGGAAUUCAGAUAAUUACUGCAUAUUAAGUUGCUUAAUCUGCAACCAAAUUCCACCCUGGGAGCCAGCUAGUGACUGAUCUCUGGGGGACUUCUGCACUAGGUUUGUAGCCUGAACUUGAAACUCAUGUUCCCACAUGUAUGGAGCUACCUUAUUUUCUUUAGUAGUAGGGCUGUCUGAUGUGGAAUAUGCACGCUUUAACCUUCCGGCAUCUUUAGCAUGGAUAUAGGUAGUCCUACAGCUCCAGCAGCCCGGAGUUCACUUUGGAUAAGUAGACCAAGUAUUUAGCAAUUAUUUUUGAUCUCUUUGUGUGUGCGUAUGUAUGUAUCAGAUUUGUAUAUCAAGCAGCAGUAUGGAAAAUAUCAAUUUAGGUUACGGAUAUGGAUAAACUAAUUAUGUGUCAGUCGGGAAGAUCGUGCUGCUGAGUGCACAUAAGUGCCUACACGCACCUGUGCUCAAGGAAGCUGUUACAUGUCACAAGCAGAUUACAGUAGGGUUCAGGCAGUACAACAAGAUCAAAGGAUGGAUACCAAGGAAAAAGUUUUUUUCCACCAUUUCUUCCAUGCUAUGUCCAUCUAUCACUUUAUAAAUGCAUCAGUACUAUAUUCUCCAGUACUUUAUUUUCAUAUUAGGAAUUUGUUUCUUCCCUUAGGGAGACUCUUUGUCUUCCUUUCAAUGGUAAAUAAAAAAUGCUCUUCACCAUAAUAUAUAUAAUAUAUGUAAAAAAAGGAACAGAAAACGACAUGUCCCUGUAUACAGCUUGAAUAGUUGAUAGAUGAUUAUCAAUUCUCUGCUUAGAUCUUAGAGCCA